rnacentral:rRNA from 1 species
UAAGGAAUAUUGGACAAUGGGCGCAAGCCUGAUCCAGCCAUGCCGCGUGAAGGAUUAAGGUCCUCUGGAUUGUAAACUUCUUUUAUAAGGGACGAAAAAAGGGAAUUCUUUCUCACUUGACGGUACCUUAUGAAUAAGCACCGGCUACUCCGUGCCAGCAGCCGCGGUAAUACGGAGGGUGCAAGCGUUAUCCGGAUUCACUGGGUUUAAAGGGUGCGUAGGCGGGUAUUUAAGUCAGUGGUGAAAUCCUAGAGCUUAACUCUAGAACUGCCAUUGAUACUAUUUAUCUUGAAUAUUGUGGAGGUAAGCGGAAUAUGUCAUGUAGCGGUGAAAUGCUUAGAUAUGACAUAGAACACCUAUUGCGAAGGCAGCUUACUACGCAUAUAUUGACGCUGAGGCACGAAAGCGUGGGGAUCAAACAGG